CUCAAGCAACUUCAACAAUAUAAUUUGUUCUCUAUAUUUUUUAAUUUGUAAACUCAUAUAGUCGGUGGCUUUGACAGGUUCAUCAUACGUUUCUUGAGAAAAAAUGGUUCUGCUGCAUGGCAUAAAAGUGGUCAGAGACUCUGUAGGUCCCGACACGGAUCGUCGGACGAAGGCUCGAGCAACUUCAACAAUAUAAUUUGUUCUCUAUAUUUUUUAAUUUGUAAACUCAUAUAGUCGGUGGCUUUGACAGGUUCAUCAUACGUUUCUU